GCCGUCGUAGCGCAAUGGUAGCGCGUCGCUUUCCUAUGGUAUUUGGAGGCGAAGGUUGCGAGUUCGAUCCUCGUCGUCGGUA